UUAACGAAUCGCAUGGCCCUGCGCCGGCGAUGGUUCAUUCAAAUUUCUGCCCUAUCAACUUUCGAUGGUAGGAUAGUGGCCUACCAUGGUUUCAACGGGUAACGGGGAAUUAGGGUUCUAUUCCGGAGAGGGAGCCUGAGAAACGGCUACCACAUCCAAGGAAGGCAGCAGGCGCGCAAUUACCCAAUCCCAACCUGGGGAGGUAGUGACAAUAAAUACUGAUACAGGGCUCUUUUGGGUCUUGUAAUUGGAAUGAGUACAAUUUAAAUCCCUUAACGAGGAACAAUUGGAGGGCAAGUCUGGUGCCAGCAGCCGCGGUAAUUCCAGCUCCAAUAGCGUAUAUUAAAGUUGUUGCAGUUAAAAAGCUCGUAGUUGAACCUUGGGUCUUGUUAGCGGGUGCCUCCCAACGGGGGUUACCAUCGACAGGCAGGGCCUUUCUCCUUGAGUAGUCCGGCGUGCCCUUCGCUGGGUGUGCCGGGCAAUCGGGACUUUUACUUUGAAAAAAUUAGAGUGUUCAAAGCAGGCAUAUGCUCGGAUACAUUAGCAUGGAAUAAUAGAAUAGGACGUUUCGGCUUAUUUUGUUGGUAUUGACGGCCGGCCGUAAUGAUUAAUAGGGAUAGUCGGGGGCAUCAGUAUUCAAUUGUCAGAGGUGAAAUUCUUGGAUUUAUUGAAGACUAACUACUGCGAAAGCAUUUGCCAAGGAUGUUUUCAUUAAUCAGUGAACGAAAGUUAGGGGAUCGAAGACGAUCAGAUACCGUCGUAGUCUUAACCAUAAACUAUGCCGACUAGGGAUCGGGCGAUGUUGUUAUACUGACUCGCUCGGCACCUUACGAGAAAUCAAAGUCUCUGGGUUCUGGGGGGAGUAUGGUCACAAGGCUGAAACUUAAAGGAAUUGACGGAAGGGCACCACCAGGAGUGGAGCCUGCGGCUUAAUUUGACUCAACACGGGGAAACUCACCAGGUCCAGACACAUUAAGGAUUGACAGAUUGAGAGCUCUUUCUUGAUCAUGUGGGUGGUGGUGCAUGGCCGUUCUUAGUUGGUGGAGUGAUUUGUCUGCUUAAUUGCGAUAACGAACGAGACCUUAACCUGCUAAAUAGCCAGGCCCGCAUCAGGCGGGUCGCCUGGCUUCUUGGAGGGACUAUCGGCUCAAGCCGAUGGAAGUUUGAGGCAAUAACAGGUCUGUGAUGCCCUUAGAUGUUCUGGGCCGCACGCGCGCUACACUGACAGAGCCAACGAGUACAUCACCU
rnacentral:rRNA from 1 species